GAGCAGUACCAUUGAAUAUGCAUUGACAGAGCUCCUAUGCAACCCUGAAUCAAUGACCAAGGCCAAAGCUGAACUUGCUUCAGUAAUAGGAGCAAACAGAAAGGUUGAAGAGAGUGAUAUCGACAAUCUUCCAUUCUUGCAAGCCGUGGUAAAGGAAACACUUCGUUUGCAUCCUCCAAUUCCAUUCCUAGUUCCUCGAAGAGCAAUUGAAGACACCCAAUUCAUGGGGUAUGAGAUUCCCAAGAACACACAAGUUCUUGUAAACGCUUGGGCUAUUGG
rnacentral:misc_RNA from 1 species